rnacentral:rRNA from 1 species
UACGUAGGGGGCGAGCGUUGUCCGGAGUUACUGGGCGUAAAGGGCACGCAGGCGGUGCGGCGCGUUUCGCGUGACAGCGGAGGGCUUAACUCUCCGAGGAUGCGAAAGACGGCGGCACUUGAGGGCCAGAGAGGGACACGGAAUUCCGGGUGGAGUGGUGAAAUGCGUAGAGAUCCGGAGGAACACCGGUGGCGAAGGCGGGUCUCUGGGCCGAUACUGGACGCUGAGGAGCGAAAGCGUGGGGAGCGAACAGG